GAUCUGCCCUGUACUUCGGGAUAAGCUUGGGAAACUGGGUCUAAUACCGGAUAGGACUGCAUCGUGGGUGGUGUGGUGGAAAGCUUUUGCGGUAUGGGAUGAGCUCGCGGCCUAUCAGCUUGUUGGUGGGGUAAUGGCCUACCAAGGCGUCGACGGGUAGCCGGCCUGAGAGGGUGUACGGCCACAUUGGGACUGAGAUACGGCCCAGACUCCUACGGGAGGCAGCAGUGGGGAAUAUUGCACAAUGGGCGCAAGCCUGAUGCAGCGACGCCGCGUGGGGGAUGAUCGGCCUUCCGGGUUGUAAACUCCUUCCGCCAGGGGAACGGAAGGCGUAAAGUGGACCGGUUACCUGGAUUAAGAAGCACCGGGCUAACCUACGUGCCAAGCAGCCGCGGUAAAUACGUAGGGUGCGAGCGUUGUCCCGGAAUUACUUGGGCGUAAAGAGCUCGUAGGGUGGUUUGUCGCGUCGUUUGUGUAAGUCCACGGCUUAACUGUGGGACUGCAGGCGAUACGGGCAUAACUUGAGUGCUGUAGGGGAGACUGGAAUUCCUGGUGUAGCGGUGAAAUGCGCAGAUAUCAGGAGGAACACCGAUGGCGAAGGCAGGUCUCUGGGCAGUAACUGACGCUGAGGAGCGAAAGCAUGGGUAGCGAACAGGAUUAGAUACCCUGGUAGUCCAUGCCGUAAACGGUGGGCGCUAGGUGUGAGUCCCUUCCACGGGGUUCGUGCCGUAGCUAACGCAUUAAGCGCCCCGCCUGGGGAGUACGGCCGCAAGGCUAAAACUCAAAGGAAUUGACGGGGGCCCGCACAAGCGGCGGAGCAUGUGGAUUAAUUCGAUGCAACGCGAAGAACCUUUACCUGGGGCUUGACAUACACCGGGACCGGGGCCAGAGAUGGUCCUUUCCCUUUUGUGGCUGGUGUACAGGUGGGUGCCAUGCUUGUUCGUCAGCUUCGUGUCGUGGAGAUUGUUUGGGUUAAGUUCCCCGCAACGAGCGCAACCCUUGUCUUAUGUUGCCAGCACGUUGUGGUGGGGACUCAUGAGAGACUGCCGGGGUUAACUCGGAGGAAGGUGGGGAUGACGUCAAAUCAUCAUGCCCCUUAUGUCCAGGGCUUCACACAUGCUACAAUGGUCGGUACAGCGCGUGCGCGAGUUCGUGAGGAUGAGCUAAUCGCUGAAAGCCGGUCGUAGUUCGGAUUGGGGUCUGCAACUCGACCCCAUGAAGUCGGAGUCGCUAGUAAUCGCAGAUCAGCAACGGUGCGGUGAAUACGUUCCCGGGCCUUGUCCACACCCCUUAUGGCGUAUUAAAAGUAUUGUAUAGUGUUAACACUGCCCAAGA
rnacentral:rRNA from 1 species